UACAGAGGUCCCAAGCGUUGUUCGGAUUCACUGGGCGUAAAGGGUGCGUAGGUGGUCGGGUAAGUCUGAUGUGAAAUCUCCGAGCCUAACUCGGAAACUGCAUCGGAUACUAUUCGGCUAGAGGAUUGGAGGGGGGACUGGAAUACCUGGUGUAGCGGUGAAAUGCGUAGAUAUCAGGUGGAACACCAGUGGCGAAGGCGAGUCCCUAGACAACUCCUGACACUGAGGCACGAAAGCUAGGGGAGCAAACAGG
rnacentral:rRNA from 1 species